AAUGUAUUUUUCUUAGGGCCGUUAAUACAUCAUGUAACCCCACAUAAAUGGUUGGGAACCAGAUUAAUUUAAUUUAUUUUCAAUACCAUCUCCAAAAUAUUGCGGAUGCAUGUAUUAGGUAGGAUCUAUAAGAGUUGUUGUUAUGUAUGUGUUCUGAAUCCGCCAAUGUAAUCAAUUUGCAGUUCUGUCAUAUUUCUUAGUUCAAGCCCCUGAGUUAAUGCUUUUAAAUUUAUGAACUCAAAUAGUUCAAGAUUCAGUAAAAAUGCACGAUGAUCUUUACAGAUUAUCUAUUUUUAUGUGGGACUUCUAAGAUGAUAGAUUAACAAUAAAUAAUGUGCACUAAUUACAUUUCUCUUUUUAUCACUAUAUUUUAUUAAUCUUUGGUAUCUACAAAAUGUAUGCAUACUGAUAUCAUAGUGUGGUCUGAAUCGGGUGUGCUGCUUCUACUUGCAUAAAAGCUGAUAUUGCCAUGAUCCUUAGUCAUGUCUUCUUAAAAUAAAGGGAUUUUGCAUGGACAGAUGGAACCAAAAAUCUUCGGAACCUGACAGCAUUCAGUUUUUUCUCCUGGGUGCUGCUAGCUCCUGUGUAACUAAAUGUUCUUUUCCAUUUAAGGGGAACCAUGCCCAUGCAACGGUACUGAACAAAGUUGUGCACGUGGUCGUGGACACUCUACGCGAAAGAAUUUGUAUAAAUAUACAAUGCUCUUUUUGAAGCCUCCUGGGAUGAUAUUAGAAGGAACUCGAGCGGAAGGCCGCCGGACAUGGAAGAAAUGAGCCCAAGCCCAAUCAAUUGGAUGCUUCAGUGGAUUUGAAUGGGGUUCAUUGUAGGCGAGUGCUUGAAUUUGCGGCCUCACAGGCAUCAUUAGCUUCCCUUAUCCCACACAAGUAUUCUUCCUGAGAACUAUGCUUAGAUAGCUGAAUGUAUUAUUGUGAACUACUAAACCUUUGCACUUUUGUUGUAACAUACUGAACAUUUGCACCAUUGCUUUUCAUUGUAUAAAUGUAUGAAAUAAGAAAAUGUCUCA